rnacentral:rRNA from 1 species
GACAGAGGGGGCAAGCGUUGCUCGGAAUCACUGGGCGUAAAGGGCGCGUAGGCGGGAUGGCAAGUCGGUCGUGAAAGCCUUCGGCUCAACCGAAGAACGUCGGCCGAUACUGCCGUUCUUGAGGGAUGCAGAGGAGACUGGAAUUCCCGGUGUAGCGGUGAAAUGCGUAGAUAUCAGGAAGAACACCGGUGGCGAAGGCGGCUCUCUGGGCCUUACCUGACGCUGAGGAGCGAAAGCGUGGGUAGCGAACAGG